ACUCCUACGGGAGGCAGCAGUGGGGAAUAUUGCACAAUGGGCGCAAGCCUGAUGCAGCCAUGCCGCGCGUAUGAAGAAGGCCUUCGGGUUGUAAAGUACUUUCAGCAGUGAGGAAGGUGGGUAUGUUAAUAGCAUAUUCAUUUGACGUUAGCUGCAGAAGAAGCACCGGCUAACUCCGUGCCAGCAGCCGCGGUAAUACGGAGGGUGCGAGCGUUAAUCGGAAUUACUGGGCGUAAAGCGCAUGCAGGUGGUUUGUUAAGUCAGAUGUGAAAGCCCGGGGCUCAACCUCGGAAUUGCAUUUGAAACUGGCAAACUAGAGUACUGUAGAGGGGGGUAGAAUUUCAGGUGUAGCGGUGAAAUGCGUAGAGAUCUGAAGGAAUACCGGUGGCGAAGGCGGCCCCCUGGACAGAUACUGACACUCAGAUGCGAAAGCGUGGGGAGCAAACAGGAUUAGAUACCCUGGUAGGCUCU
rnacentral:rRNA from 1 species